rfam:Marinobacter excellens HL-55 ITZ_scaf_222, whole genome shotgun sequence.
GGGCAGGAUGUGUAUUUGCUAUACCGCCGCAAGCGUCGGCCUAGCAAAUCCAUGAACUUACUCGCCCUGGCGGGCUCGACGCUAUCCUGCUCUCCGAGGGG